AUGGAACGAAUGGCGACAUCAUAUUUCAAGGAAGUUUACACCAAGGAUCCAACCUUAACUCCGGACAGUGUGCUUGAUGGAGUUUUGCCGAAGGUGUCUGAAGCUAUGAACGACAGGCUGUGCGCCCCUUUUUUUGAGGAGGAGGUGUCGAAUGCUCUUUUUCAAAUAGGACCGUUGAAGGCGCCCGGAACGGAUGGAUUUCCAGCAAGGUUUUUCCAGCGUAACUGGUCAGAGUUAAAACCUCAAAUUAUUGCAGCGGUGUUAGACUUUUUUGUCUCUGGUAUUUUGCCUGAAGGUGUUAAUGACACGGCAAUCGUCCUUAUUCCGAAAGUUUCUCACCCCAAAGAGCUCAAGGACUUUAGGCCGAUCAGUCUUUGCAAUGUUAUUUAUAAAAUUGUGUCUAAAUGCAUGGUUAAUCGGCUUAGGCCGCUGCUCUCAGAGUUGAUAUCGGAGAACCAAAGUGCUUUUAUCCCGGGCCGGCUUAUCUCAGAUAAUUCUAUCAUUGCCUUUGAGUGCAUUCAUCACAUACAAAAUCUGAAAGGAAACAGUAUUGCUGCGUGUGCGUAUAAGCUUGAUUUGUCCAAGGCCUAUGAUCAUGUUGAUUGGGACUUCCUGGAGAAGGCGUUAAACAAAUGGGGGUUCCCAAAUCAAUGGAUUUCUUGGAUUAUGACAUGUGUGAGAUCAAUACGAUAUUCUGUCAAAUUUAAUGGGAAGUUAUUGGAGGUUUUUACACCUUCAAGAGGACUUCGACAAGGUGACCCAUUGUCUCCUUUCUUAUUUCUAUUUGUUGCUGAUGCUCUUUCUGCUCUCCUGUCAAAAUCAGUGAAUGAAGGAAGCUUGAGAGGAGUGACCAUUUGCCAUGGUGCACCGGUGAUAUCUCACCUUUUAUUUGCGGAUGAUACCUUGUUGUUUUUUGAAGCUUCUGGCCAGCAAGCGAACAUUGUUAAAGGUUUGUUGAACACUUAUUCCUCGGCGACAGGUCAACUUAUUAAUCCCGAGAAGUGUUCCAUCCUUUUCUCUGGAAACUGUAAUGCGUCAGUGGUGGAGGAAAUCAAUAAUAUCUUGGAGGUGCAACAACAAGUGUUUGAACCAAAAUACCUCGGUUUGCCGGUACCUGAAGGUAGAGUGCAUAAGGGUCAGUUUGAGACCCUUCAGGACAGGCUAAGGAAAAGACUAAUUGAUUGGAGUGAACAAUAUGUUUCUGUUGGGAACAAGGAGAUCCUCAUCAAGGCUAUGGCACAAUCAAUUCCAACAUACAUUAUGAGUGUGUUCCAACUUCCUGCUUUGGUGUGUGAUGAUCUUACAAAGAUGAUGAGGCAGUAUUGGUGGGAGGGUGGAGAACGGGAAGAGGAAGAUGGCAUGGCUUAG
rnacentral:rRNA from 1 species